UUGCAUUUAACAUAUUUUUAUCAUAAUCCAAACCUAACUUUUAUUGCGUUCCUUUUUUGUUCUCAUCACAAAUAUGGACGCUAUUGGAUUAUUCCUUUAUAGAAUCUCCAACUAAACAUCAAGAUCUGACAAUUUCAUAUGGAUUUCUUUGUUUAUGUGCUGCUAAGCUUCGCAAAUUCGAUCAUCAGGUAAUGUUUCUCUAAUUCAUUUGCUCUCUAGUGUUGUUUCUAAG
rnacentral:lncRNA from 1 species